rnacentral:tRNA from 1 species
GUCCAUGUAGUAUACUAAUUACACUGGUCUUGUAAACCAGAAAUGGGGAUAACCCACCCCCAUAGACU